rnacentral:rRNA from 1 species
UACGGGGGGAGCAAGCGUUUGUUCGGAUUUACUGGGCGUAAAGGGCGCGGUAGGCGGUCGUGACAAGUCACUUGUGAAAUCUCCGGGCUUAACUCGGAACGGUCAAGUGAUACUGUCGGACUAGAGUACAGAAGGGGGCAACUGGAAUUCUCGGUGUAGCGGUGAAAUGCGUAGAUAUCGAGAGGAACACCUGCGGCGAAGGCGGGUUGCUGGGCUGAUACUGACGCUGAGGCGCGAAAGCCAGGGGAGCGAACGGG